rnacentral:rRNA from 1 species
UAGCAUAUCAAUAAGCGGAGGAAAAGAAACCAACAGGGAUUGCCUUAGUAACGGCGAGUGAAGCGGCAACAGCUCAAAUUUGAAAGCUGGCUCCUUCGGAGUCCGCGUUGUAAUUUGUAGAGGAUGAUUCGGCGAGGGCUCCCGCCUAAGUCCCCUGGAACGGGGCGUCAUAGAGGGUGAGAAUCCCGUAUGCGGUGGGUUGCCUUAGCCAUGUGAAUCUCCUUCGACGAGUCGAGUUGUUUGGGAAUGCAGCUCUAAAUGGGAGGUAAAUUUCUUCUAAAGCUAAAUACCGGCCAGAGACCGAUAGCGCACAAGUAGAGUGAUCGAAAGAUGAAAAGCACUUUGGAAAGAGAGUUAAAAAGUACGUGAAAUUGUUGAAAGGGAAGCGCUUGCAGCCAGACUUGUCCGCAGUUGCUCAACCGGUCUCCUGACCGGUGUACUCUUCUGCGGCCAGGCCAGCAUCAGUUCGGGCGGUCGGAUAAAGGCCCUGGGAAUGUAGCUCCUCUCGGGGAGUGUUAUAGCCCAGGGUGGAAUGCGGCCAGCCUGGACUGAGGAUCUCGCUUCGGCUAGGAUGCUGGCGUAAUGGCUGUAAGCGGCCCGUCUUGAAACACGGACCAAGGAGUCUAACAUCUAUGCGAGUGUUUGGGUGUCAAACCCAUGCGCGUAAUGAAAGUGAACGGAGGUGGGAACCCUCACGGGUGCACCAUCGACCGAUCCUGAUGUCUUCGGAUGGAUUUGAGUAAGAGCAUAGCUGUUGGGACCCGAAAGAUGGUGAACUAUGCCUGAAUAGGGUGAAGCCAGAGGAAACUCUGGUGGAGGCUCGCAGCGGUUCUGACGUGCAAAUCGAUCGUCAAAUUUGGGUAUAGGGGCGAAAGACUAAUCGAACCAUCUAGUAGCUGGUUCCUGCCGA